AAAUUGAAGAGUUUGAUCAUGGCUCAGAUUGAACGCUGGCGGCAGGCCUAACACAUGCAAGUCGAACGGUAACAGGAAGCAGCUUGCUGCUUCGCUGACGAG
rnacentral:rRNA from 8 species